GUAAGGAAUAUUGGGCAAUGGACGAAAGUCUGACCCAGCCAUGCCGCGUGAAGGAUUAAGGUCCUCUGGAUUGUAAACUUCUUUUCUCUGGGGCGAAAACCAGCUAUUCUUAGCUAUUUGACAGUACCAGAGGAAUAAGCACCGGCUAACUCCGUGCCAGCAGCCGCGGUAAUACGGAGGGUGCAAGCGUUAUCCGGAUUCACUGGGUUUAAAGGGUGCGUAGGUGGGCUAGUAAGUCAGUGGUGAAAUCCCCGAGCUUAACUUGGGAACUGCCGUUGAUACUAUUAGUCUUGAAUAUCGUGGAGGUAAGCGGAAUAUGUCAUGUAGCGGUGAAAUGCUUAGAUAUGACAUAGAACACCAAUUGCGAAGGCAGCUUGCUACACGGUCAUUGACACUGAGGCACGAAAGCGUGGGGAGCAAACAGGAUUAGAAACCCGUGUAGUCC
rnacentral:rRNA from 1 species